UAUUUCUUCCUGUAGUUGUUUAUCUCCUUCAUAUACGUCAACCAAAUCAUAAUUGUUCUCAAUACUUUGUAUCUCUUCCCAUUCCUCAUUCGCGGAUGCAGCUAAGGUCGGAAUUUUCGUAACUCCAUUUUCAUUGUAUUUCCCAUCAACAAAAUGAGCCUGUAUAUAUACUAGUAUUAGGAUAUGUUUUAGAAUUAGUUUUUAAUACUUACGCUACAUAUUCUUGUGCUUGAUUUGAUUUCAAAGAAUGGAACUUCUAAUUCACUGUUCACGCAAAAUCGAAUCCAUUCUUUCCGAAUAUUUUUGUCUUGAGGGAACCGAUAAAAUUUAUACUCAGGAUGAGUAUCCGUCCUUCGCUCACAAUUAAGGGCUUUACACUUCAUUUUUAUUUUUGAAUUACGUUUUGUAUGAAUAAAAUGGCUUCCUAACGUUGUUUUGGUUGUAUUCCUGCUCAUAUAAUAAGAUAGAAUGUUUUGGUUCAGACAAUGAGAAUCUGCAUAACGCUGUAACGGUUGUCAGAUUAGAUUUAUUUGCUAAAAAAAAUCCCAAAUUUGUUUUGGAAACGAUUAUAUUAUAGAUAUGGGUAUUUAAAAGACUUAUUUUAUCCUUUUAAAGCAUAUUUUUGAGAUUGUCUAUUUGAAAAUAUGCAAUAAUCAUUGAAUUCGCACCAACCAAAUGUUACGAUUCAUUAAAAUAGAAAUUUGAAAAAUCCGAUAUUUUAUAAUAUUUGGCAGCUCUGGCAUCUUCAUGUCAUGGCUUCGUUUUUGGACGACGAAGAAGAGUAAGAAGCCAGUUGUCUGGUCUUGUCUUAGGUUGAUUCCUUCGCGCAACCGAGUUUGCUGCUUCGUUCGCACGCUUACACAACGAAUGAACACCAAUGAACUUUUGCGGUAUUCCCUGCGGCGAAUGACUUGAGUGUAGCAGUCACUUUUCGAGAUUUCAAAUCGUAUCCUUAUUUGCUGUCGACUCGUUUAAAAAAUGGAAGCUGAAAAAUUACACGUGGCGAUCCGACAACAAUUCGAGGAGCUAGUGCGAAGAAUGGAGGAGAAUCCUGCGGUGGCAAAGGGUUUUAAGUUUGCUGAAGCAGCGAGCACAUCAAAAUCAAUUUUCGCCCUUCUGGUGAAAUGUUGUAUUUUUGCUGUACGUCAUUCAGUAAAUCGAAGAUUUUUUCGACUGCAACGCGAUUAAAUCCUUGUGUACUGGCGGUGGAGGUUGCUUCUAGUGUCCGAAGUGAGAGUUGUGGGUGACCAGCCAGCCAACCUAUUCAGGCUAAUUGCUUUUGGCCAUUGAAAGAGUGAGAAAUAACAUAUCUUUCGACCAAAUUAUACGUCAGUUUCCAGAUUUCUUUCGUCUUAAAACUAUUGAACCGUUGUUCCAAAAAAAGAAUAUAAUCUACGAGCUCGUUCUCUUGCUUCGUCGUAAAAACAUUACUAAAUGAUCCGAGCAGCUGGAGCUGCAAAAUAUCUGAACAACGUAAAUAACGUUUAAGUGUUUCUCGCGGUACAGAACGCACUAAGGAGACUGCAUGUAGCACUAACAUACCACUCUUCACUGCUUAGAUGGCCGCGUACAAGCUGGUCUGUGGCCACUUUUUACGAUCGGAUGUUCUGGUAUUUCCGCAUCAUGAUUCCACAUCUAUUUUCAACUAUGUUCACAAAUUUUGACAGCUGCAUUUACAGUUUAUGUUGGAAAAAUACCUGGUCAUACUGCCCCAAGCAGGUAUGCCCAUUCGGCAAAGACGAAGCAGCGCACUAAAUCAGUGAAAAUUGUCGGAAAUAAUGCCAAUACGAAUUUAUAUAAAGAGCAGAGUCAUAAAUUUCAGUAUGAAACGUACAAAGCUUAUUUUGUUGACUGCUUUUUUAUAUGUUUUUCUUGAUAAUCAGUCGGUUUUCCAGGUUUUCAAGGAGAUACUUCUUCCUCUUAAAUGACACUAACGUUCCUAGAGGAACUUCGCCGUCUCAACGUAGUAUUACUUACGUCAAUUAUAAUAGUACUUGGUUGAGAUUUCUAUGCCAAAUAACACGCCUUGAGUGCAUUCUGAGUGGCAAGCUCUAGAAUACGCGUGACCACAGUGCAAGUCGGAGCAAAUUUCUUUGACGAAAAAUUCCCCCUACCAGAACGGGAAUCAAUAACGAGCCAAAACGAAGGGUGGCCCAUUUCACCCCGCCUGGUCAUAUUGCACCUAUCUACCCUAUAUUUCAUUACUACAGGCUUGGGCCAACUUCAAAUGAAAAACAAACAUGAUGAUUUUGAUUCUUAAAAAUGAGGCCUGUGAAGAAGCUAUAGUUAACUUCUUAUCGCUAAACAAAGCCGUUAACCGAGAGGGUCUACGCAAGACGGGUCUAUGGUACUAGGUGAGGCCGUUUCGUCACUAAGUUGGUUAGGGGAGCGGUAUAUGAAAACAGUACGGAAGAAAGCAGAAGGGGAUUUAUUUGCUUGAAGCGUGAAAGAGACAGACUGAUCAGGAACGAUCUUCGGCACUAGCGUAUUGUGUUUUGUUUACAAACAAAACACAGUAGACUUCCAAGAUGGCUGAAGAGUGGUUUUAGCAAGUUGGCCCACCUUAGGAUAUACUUCUACGCGCUUUGGGUCUACGAUCUCUGAUCAUCUGACAUUUCAUUCGCACGAUGGCUGCAUGCGCUUCAUUAUCGUCAUCGGCCAACCAAAAUGCAAAGCUGCUCAAGUUCUAUAAAUAAAACACGAAUGCAAGUUUCUUGCCUUGAUGGAUUGCUUAUUAAAAGCUGCAACACGAAAAUGUUAUCAGGUCAAAGCAAUUGAUUGGGGGUCCUCGUAGCCUAAUUGGUUACGUGUCCGCUGCUAAACGAACGAUCAUGAGCUGAUAACUCAGGACCCCUUAACUGACCAUCUUUGUGUGUUAUUCUAGCUACUAUGUCCACGCAACAAUCAUCAUGUGAAGGUAAUCCCAAUCCCUUACCGCUCACAUUUUCGGUCUGCUGCAUCGGUAAUUGGAUCUAUCCCCAACUAUAACCCAACAAAGGAAGCCUCAUAUCAACAGUCCCGCUGUGAACAGCCCAACUGUGAACAUUCGAACAAUAGCAAUAUUCUUACGCCGAAAAAGGCGACAUGUGUUGUGCAUCGAUAGAAUAGGAAUUCUCUUACGUCUGACGACUACUGUGUUAUAGAUAAAAACAAAUGUUUAUCGAUAAAUAGCGAUACUCUUACGCCUCAAAAUGGUAACAGUGUAGUAUACAACAAAAGUUAUCUUAGGAUAAAAAAUGUACACGAAUGAAUUCGGCUCUGUUAGAGCUGAAUUGCUAAAUGAGCCUUAUAAAUUGUAGGGAUAAAAAAAAAGCAAUUGAUCACAAAAAGCAGCGAUUUCUGGGAUGGAAAAACAAAUUCAAAAUGAUCAAGUGCGGCCGUUUCACUAGAUUUAAAACGCAUACUCAAAAAACUGAACGGAAUGCCCGAGCGAAGUCAUGUAAACAAAAAUUAUAAAAGAUUGUGUUCAAGACACGAUCGCAUCGUUGACGUAGAACUACGCUGUAGUUUAAUUCAAGUCGCUUGUUUAUAACUGCGGAUAUUAUUUUAUAAUGCUACGAAAAUUUUGAAAUAACCAUUCCACCAGUUUGGUCGCCUUGAAAUGUUUUUGACGUUCAAUUACGUCUUUCGGGAACAUAUUGGGAUACAAAUUGAAAGUCGAAAAUCUAGCACAUCGGGAAAAUUGUCCAAUUUCAAACGCUUAUUGCUUAGUCAUUUCAUGAUGGAUUGAUGAAAUUUUUACGUCAAUCGAUUUCAGAACUCCAUAAUAAUUUUUUAUAUUGAAUAAAAUAAUAUAUGUCAUGAAACUAACUAUCGAACAAUUGAAAAAUCUCAACCCCUAUCCUAACGGAAAUACCACUUCUGAUUGGUCGAAAUUGACGAAGCAUGCGGCUGGUUCCUAACAGAGACAUCAAAACCAAGCAAAAAAGUAGGGGCAGCUUUUGUUCCUACCGAAAUGUAUUACCUAACAGAGACAUCAAAAUCAAGCUGCCUGGGGGAAAUCGACAUUGUAAAUACAUGAAAGUCGGCAUUUAUAUAUUGCAAGUAAGGUGAGUGAUACGAUUAA